rnacentral:rRNA from 1 species
GCNGGUUACGAUUCGCCCCUUGAGUUUGAUCAUGGCUCAGGAUGAACGCUAGCGGCAGGCUUAACACAUGCAAGUCGAGGGGCAGCAUGUCCAGCAAUGGAUGAUGGCGACCGGCGGAAGGGUGCGUAACGCGUGAGCAACAUGCCCUAUACAGGGAGAUACACCAGGGAAACUUGGUCUAAUAUCCCAUAGCAUUCAUUGAAGGCAUCUUUAAUGAAUUAAAGCUUCGGUGGUAUAGGAUUGGCUCGCGUGACAUUAGCCAGAUGGUGAGGUAACGGCUCACCAUAGCAAUGAUGUCUAGGGGUUUUGAGAGGAAGGCCCCCCACACUGGGACUGAGACACGGCCCAGACUCCUACGGGAGGCAGCAGUGAGGAAUAUUGGACAAUGGAUGGAAAUCUGAUCCAGCCAUGCCGCGUGCAGGAAGACGGCCUUAUGGGUUGUAAACUGCUUUUAUACGGGAGCAAUAAGGGUUACGAGUAAUCCGAUGAGAGUACUGUAUGAAUAAGGAUCGGCUAACUCCGUGCCAGCAGCCGCGGUAAUACGGAGGAUCCGAGCGUUAUCCGGAAUUAUUGGGUUUAAAGGGUGCGUAGGCGGCCAUUUAAGUCAGCGGUGAAAUUUUGCAGCUUAACUGUAACAGUGCCGUUGAUACUGUUUGGCUAGGAUUUGGUUGUAGUGUGCGGAAUGUGUGGUGUAGCGGUGAAAUGCUUAGAUAUCACACAGAACACCGAUUGCGAAGGCAGCACACUAAGUCAUUAUUGACGCUGAGGCACGAAAGUGUGGGGAUCAAACAGGAUUAGAUACCCUGGUAGUCCACACUGUAAACGAUGAUAACUCGCUGUCGGCGAUACA